rnacentral:rRNA from 1 species
AUUGAACGCUGGCGGCAUGCCUUACACAUGCAAGUCGAACGGCAGCACGGGUGCUUGCACCUGGUGGCGAGUGGCGAACGGGUGAGUAAUACAUCGGAACAUGUCCUGUAGUGGGGGAUAGCCCGGCGAAAGCCGGAUUAAUACCGCAUACGAUCUACGGAUGACAGCGGGGGACCUUCGGGCCUCGCGCUGUCGGGGUGGCCGAUGGCUGAUUGGCUAGUUGGUGGGGUAAAGGCCUACGAAGGCGACGAUCAGGAGCUGGUCUGAGAGAACGACCAGCCACACGGGGAGUGAGCCACGGCCCAUACUCCUACGGGAGGGAGCAGUGGGGAAUUUUGGACAAUGGGCGAAAGCCUGAUCCAGCAAUGCCGCGUGUGUGAAGACGGCCUUCGGGUUGUAAAGCACUUUUGUCCGGAAAGAAAUCCUUGGCCCUAAUACGGUCGGGGGAUGACGGUACCGGAAGAAUAAGCACCGGCUAACUACGUG